UCGAGAGGCUUCGGCAAUGGGGGAAACCCUGACCGAGCGACGCCGCGUGAGCGAUGAAGCCCUUCGGGGUGUAAAGCUCUUUUGUGAGGGAAGAACUGCAACGGCCCAAUACGCUGUUGUUUGACGGUACCUUACGAAUAAGCUCCGGCUAACUCCGUGCCAGCAGCCGCGGUAAUACGGGGGGAGCAAACGUUGUUCGGAAUCACUGGGCGUAAAGGGCGCGUAGGCGGCUCUGUAAGUGGUAUGUGAA
rnacentral:rRNA from 1 species